CCAACUAUACUGCUGAAGAUAGCUGCAGUUUACUGUGUUACAUCGGUUUACUGGAUUAUUGAUUGGGUUACUAGUGUCUACAGGAGAGAAGAACCGAACAUACGACAACGCAAUUCCGUAUUUGGAACUUGGUUACGUCUAAAAUGGUGAGCCUUGCCAACAGAGAAAUUAUAAUUACUAUAUUAAUUCUCCUCUUAUUGGCCGCAGCCAUCAAAAUCUUCGUUCCAGACAAAGGCAAUGAGGGACAAGAGGGAGUAUUAUCCACGCGUGAUAAGGUUGGCAUUGGUUUAACAUUCCUCGCUGUGUUCAGCCUAAUCGUCAAUUUCUGUUGUUGUAAACCGCAAAGACGUUAAAAGCAAUAAUGAUACAAAAGUUAUUAUCAUAUCAACAAUGGUAAUGAACUUUUAAAUUUUGAAUUGUAAAUGUAGACAUGGAUCACGUAAUCCUUGCAUACCGGGCCAUACCGUAAGGCGGGACGAUUUCUCUAAAUCAUAACAACUUUCGGUUUAGCGUGUAUAUACGUAUACUGACGACAAAUACGAAGAAUUUGUGGAAUCUUAAUUGAAAAACUGUGCAAAUAUAUGCUCUAAUAUGUUCGUAAAACCCGUUCUGAAUGAAACGCACUUUUUAUUU